rnacentral:rRNA from 1 species
GAUGAACGCUGGCGGCGUGCCUAAUACAUGCAAGUCGAGCGAACAGAUAAGGAGCUUGCUCCUUUGACGUUAGCGGCGGACGGGUGAGUAACACGUGGGUAACCUACCUAUAAGACUGGGAUAACUUCGGGAAACCGGAGCUAAUACCGGAUAACAUUUGGAACCGCAUGGCUCUAAAGUGAAAGAUGGUUUUGCUAUCACUUAUAGAUGGACCCGCGCCGUAUUAGCUAGUUGGUAAGGUAACGGCUUACCAAGGCGACGAUACGUAGCCGACCUGAGAGGGUGAUCGGCCACACUGGAACUGAGACACGGUCCAGACUCCUACGGGAGGCAGCAGUAGGGAAUCUUCCGCAAUGGGCGAAAGCCUGACGGAGCAACGCCGCGUGAGUGAUGAAGGGUUUCGGCUCGUAAAACUCUGUUAUUAGGGAAGAACAAAUGUGUAAGUAACUGUGCACGUCCUGACGGUACCUAAUCAGAAAGCCACGGCUAACUACGUG